UCGCUAGUAAUCGCAAAUCAGAAUGUUGCGGUGAAUACGUUCCCGGGUCUUGUACACACCGCCCGUCACACCAUGGGAGUCGGAAAUGCCCGAAGUCUGUGACCCAACAUUAAGAGGGAGCAGCCGAAGGCAGGUCUGAUAACUGGGGUGAAGUCGUAACAAGGUACC
rnacentral:rRNA from 1 species